AUUGAACGCUGGCGGCAGGCCUAACACAUGCAAGUCGAACGAGUGGCGGACGGGUGAGUAAUGUCUGGGAAACUGCCUGAUGGAGGGGGAUAACUACUGGAAACGGUAGCUAAUACCGCAUACCAUCGGAUGUGCCCAGAUGGGAUUAGCUUGUAGGUGGGGUAACGGCUCACCAAGGCGACGAUCCCUAGCUGGUCUGAGAGGAUGACCAGCCACAAUGGAACUGAGACACGGUCCAGACUCCUACGGGAGGCAGGAGUGGGGAAUAUUGAACAAUGGGGGCAAGCCUGAUGCAGCCAUGCCGAGGGUAUGAAGAAGGCCUUCGGGUUGGAAAGUACUUUCAGCGGGGAGGCGUUACCCGCAGAAGAAGCACCGGCUAACUCCGUGCCAGCAGGCGCGGUAAUUC
rnacentral:rRNA from 1 species